AGGCUUAACACAUGCAAGUCGAACGGAUCCUUCGGGAUCAGUGGCGGACGGGUGAGUAACGCGUGGGAACCUACCCGUGGGGUGGGGAAUAACCUUGGGAAACCGAGGCUAAUACCGCAUACGCCCUAUUGGGGAAAGACUAUGUUGCCCUGGGAUGGGCCCGCGUCCGAUUAGCUAGUUGGUGGGGUAAUGGCCUACCAAGGCUGCGAUCGGUAGCUGGUCUGAGAGGAUGGUCAGCCACACUGGGACUGAGACACGGCCCAGACUCCUACGGGAGGCAGCAGUGGGGAAUAUUGGACAAUGGGGGCAACCCUGAUCCAGCCAUGCCGCGUGAGUGAAGAAGGCCUUAGGGUUGUAAAGCUCUUUCACCCGUGACGAUGAUGACGGUAGCGGGAGAAGAAGCCCCGGCUAAUUCCGUG
rnacentral:rRNA from 1 species